UACGAAGGGGGCUAGCGUUGCUCGGAAUCACUGGGCGUAAAGGGCGCGUAGGCGGCCAUUCAAGUCAGGGGUGAAAGCCUGUGGCUCAACCACAGAAUUGCCUUUGAUACUGUUUGGCUAGAGACCGGAAGAGGUAAAGUGGAACUGCGGAGUGUAGAGGUGAAAUUCGUAGAUAUUCGCAAGAACACCAGUGGCGAAGGCGGCUUACUGGUCCGGUUCUGACGCUGAGGCGCGAAAGCGUGGGGAGCAA
rnacentral:rRNA from 1 species